ACCUGUAAAAGAAAAGGCCAAUCAGACAAAUGUUCCUAGGGCUCAACAAAACAAAAUUAUAUGACAUUUCCAAGCUAAUUAUCUCUAUGAAUAUAAAAAAAUCAACAAGCUAAGGGUGCCUUGUACGAAUAGGACAAUCCAUCCAUAACAGAAACAACCUUGCACAGGUUGAGCCAGCGGGCAGUGGUAUUGAAUGAGUAGAAUAACUUCCAAGUCAAACACUCAAUCUAACUAGUAUUUCAGAUUGCUUUAAUCUACAUACAACAAAGUGUCAGAUUGCUUUAAUCUACAUACAACAAAGUGUUGUCAGUUAUACAAUCCUUAAAGUGCCAUGUAGAAACUAAAAUCAUGAUGCAGCUGCAUCCUGGAAAUACAUCAAUAAAAUGAUGGUUAUUUUGGUUCAACAAUGGUAAUCAGUAGUUCCAGAUAACAAAAACUAAUGUGAAUGAGAAAUGAUUAACAUAAGAAUUACAAAAUAUUUCAUGUUUCUUUGAUCAUUUGCCAGUUCCUUUAGCAAAUUAUGGCACAAAAGAAACAAAUCCAAUUCCUCUUUUACAAGUGAGUUACCCCAAUAAAAUAGCAAUAUAAACAGU
rnacentral:lncRNA from 1 species